rnacentral:misc_RNA from 1 species
UGAAAGCCUCCCAAGCCCGGGCACAACACAUACCCCGAUACCUCAGGCGCCAAGGAACUGCGACAGAGCGAGAGCGCCUUACGCCGAUUGCACCCGAAAUGACUCUCGACAACGGAUAUCUCAGCUCUCGCAUCGAUGAAGAACGUAGUGGAAUGCGAUGCUUGGUGUGAAUUGCAGAAUCCUGUGAACUAUUGAGUCUUUGAAUGUAAGUUAUGCCCCAUGCUAUUAGGCCGAGGGCACGCCUGCCUGGGCGUCAGGCAACGUCGCCGCCACCUCACGCGGGGCGCCGCAAAUGAUGGCCUCCCCGAGGCUCUAUCCCCCAGCUGGACGAAAUCACUGCCUAGCGCGAUGGCGGCCAUGAUCCAGCGGGACGUUCGAGACCGAACGUGAUCGCAUAAUCCCAAUGGGAGGGCGGGACCCCGAAUCCCACGGCGACCCCAGGUCAGGCGG